UUCGGAAUUACUGGGCGUAAAGGGCUCGUAGGUGGCCAACUAAGUCAGACGUGAAAUCCCUCGGCUUAACCGGGGAACUGCGUCUGAUACUGGAUGGCUUGAGUUUGGGAGAGGGACGCGGAAUUCCAGGUGUAGCGGUGAAAUUCGUAGAUAUUCGGAAGAACACCAGUGGCGAAGGCGGCUCACUGGACCGGUAUUGACGCUGAGGUGCGAAAGCGUGGGGAGCAAACAGG
rnacentral:rRNA from 1 species